rnacentral:rRNA from 2 species
UACGUAGGGUGCAAGCGUUGUCCGGAAUCAUUGGGCGUAAAGAGCGUGUAGGCGGCUCGAUUAGUCCGCUGUAAAAGUCCAGGGCUCAACCCUGGGAUGCCGGUGGAAACUGUCGGGCUAGAGUCCGGGAGAGGCGAGUGGAAUUCCUGGUGUAGCGGUGAAAUGCGCAGAUAUCAGGAGGAACACCAAUGGCGAAGGCAGCUCGCUGGAACGGUACUGACGCUGAGACGCGAAAGCGUGGGGAGCAAACAGG